CCUACUGGAGGCAUCAGUGGGGAAUAUUUCGCAAUGGGCGAAAGCCUGACGCCGCGCCGCCGCGUGAGGGAUGAAGGUCUUCGGAUCGUACACCUCUGUCAGCAGGGAAGAACGGUCACUGUGCUAAUCAGCAGUGAAUUGACGGUACCUGCAAAGGAAGCACCGGCUAACUCCGUGCCAGCAGCCGCGGUAAUACGGAGGGUGCGAGCGUUAAUCGGAAUUACUGGGCGUAAAGCGCUCGUAGGCGGUAUGUCACGUCAAGGGUGAAAUCCCCGCGCUCAACGUGGGAACUGCCUUUGAAACGGGCAAACUGGAGUGUGUGAGAGGAUAGUGGAAUUCCAGGUGUAGGAGUGAAAGGCAUAGAUAUCGCGCAGAACUCCGAUUGCGAAGGCAGCAUGCCGGCUCCACACUGACGCUGAGGCACGAAAGCGUGGGUAUCGAACAGGAUUAGAUACCCUUGUAGUC
rnacentral:rRNA from 1 species